CCUACGGGUGGCAGCAGUGAGGAAUAUUGGUCAAUGGGCGCGAGCCUGAACCCGCCAAGUAGCGUGAAGGAUGACUGCCCUACGGGUUGUCAACUUCUUGUAUAAAGGAAUAAAGUGAGGCACGUGUGCCUUUUUGUAUGUACUUUAUGAGUAAGGAUCGGCUAACUCCGUGCCAGCAGCCGAGGUAAUACGGAGGAUCCGAGAGUUAUCCGGAUUUAUUGGGUUUAAAGGGAGCGUAGAUGGGUUCUUAAGUCAGUUGUGAAAGUUUGCGGCUCAAACGUAAAAUUGCAAUUGAUACUGGCAGCCAUGAGUACAGUUGAGGUAGGCGGAAUUCGUGGUGUAGCGGUGAAAUGCUUAGAUAUCACGAAGAACUCCGAUUGCGAAGGCAGCCUACUAAACUGCCACUGACAUUGAUGCUCGAAAGUGUGGGUAUCAAACAGGAUUAGAUACCCGGGUAGUC
rnacentral:rRNA from 1 species